ACACGGCGGUUUGUUGUUCGCAUCAUUUGACAGUGUAUUACGCACCGAACAUCAGUCAUGAUCUUCCGUGUACCUCAGAUCCUCUUAAUUCUUCUUGUAAUCUCCUUGGGUAGCAUCACCGUGCACACGAAACCAGAUUUUGAAGGAAACAAACCCCGUGUUGACACUUGCACACCUGAAGAUAAAAGAAAUAGGCGGUGUCGUUAAAAUGGAGAAUGAAGACCAGUGGCGUGGCAUGAAUGAUUGAUUAUCGAUAUAUUUCCCCAUUUGAACCCGAGGUAGGGAAUCGAUUAUUUUGGAGUUCGCUGCGAACACCCUGUUAAUCGAUCCUUUUCCAUAGGUUAAAAUGACAGAUCAAUCGAUAUAUCGCAAGACACGCCACGCCACUGAUGGAGACUAAGUACCCCAAAGAGUCUCAAGGUCAGCAUCUACAAUCUGAGCAUGACACAAUUUUUCAAGAUGUGUGUUACGAGAUACAUUCGAAUGUAUAUUGAUGAAAACUCAACCGACAAACCCAUACUGAAAUAUUUUUGAAAUGAUGAAAGCACGAAGACCAUGGACGGAACCUAACGCAAUUUUUUCUUAAAAUAAGAGAAAUCGUAAUAAAUUGUAACACAAUAA